AAGUCGUAACAAGGUUUCCGUAGGUGAACCUGCGGAAGGAUCAUUAUCGAGUAACUAAACGGGGUUGUGCUGGCCCUCUUGGGCAUGUGCACGCCUCUACUCAUCCAUUACACCCCCUUGUGCACCUAGAGGCGACGACCCCCUUGUGAGGUGGUCGCCUUCCUUUAUACACGCUUCAGAAGUCUGUAGAAUGUAACUAGCCUAACGGCGAUAUAAUACAACUUUCAACAACGGAUCUCUUGGCUCUC
rnacentral:misc_RNA from 1 species